UAUUAACGCUGGCGGCGUGCAUAACACAUGCAAGUCGAACGAUGAAACUUAGUAGACUUCUUCGGAAAGACACUAAGCGGCUUAGUGGCGAACGGGUGAGUAACGCGUGAGUAACCUGCCUUACACAAGGGGAUAGCCUUUGGAAACGAAGAAUAAUACCCUAUAAAACCAUAAAAGCACAUGCUAGAAUGGUCAAAGUGAUAGCGGUGUAAGAUGGACUUGCGUCUGAUUAGCUAGUUGGUGAGAUAAAAGCUCACCAAGGCAACGAUCAGUAGCCGGCUUGAGAGAGUGUACGGCCACAUUGGGACUGAGACACGGCCCAGACUCCUACGGGAGGCAGCAGUGGGGAAUUUUGCACAAUGGGGGAAACCCUGAUGCAGCGACGCCGCGUGAUUUAGAAGGCCUUCGGGUUGUAAAAAUCUUUUGUAUAGGAAGAAAAUGACAGUACUAUACGAAUAAGGUCCGGCUAAUUACGUG
rnacentral:rRNA from 1 species